CUAUAUAACUAUAUAAUACAUCUCCUAUGGACAUAAAAGUAAUUUAACACCCAUUUUUUAAGAUGGCAGACUAAAAGUCUCAAAUAAAACCUAUAUUUUUUCAUUUUUCUUCCCAUUUUAUCCUCCUCUCCUUGCAUCCCCUUUCUUUCAAUUAGGCUUUAUUCAUACCAGCAUCGAUUCAAUUUUCAUUUUAAAUGCAAUUGAAGAUGUGGUGUUCAGGGACCGUCGGACUUCCCUUUCAAUAUUGCACUCCUGCAUUCAAUUUCGUUUUACGUUUUCGAUUUCACCCUAUAUAGCCCCCCCGCAACCCUUUGCGCAAACAAGGUAUGACAGAUUCUUCAGUUUGUUAUAUUCAGCUUUCGUGGGGUUCCGGUUAGUCGUACAGUCGUCGGAACACUGGUAACCCUGGUGAUCUCUGCAUCCCAUCACAGGAAGUGGAUCCAUGUCAUGAAUUGACUGAUGAUGACAUUCGAACCGCCAUAAAGGAUGCAUCAGGUCCUAGAUUCGGUUUGAAGUUCUUAUUAGAAGGCAAAUUGCUAAUUUAUUAAAUCCAAGUGUUCAAUGUGCAAGAUUUGCAAGAUGAACAUACGGUAAGGUUUAGGCCUUUAGGGUUCUGCGGCGGUCAAUGGUGUUCUACGGCGGUGAACAAGCAACGGCGGAUUGGACCUUCGGUAGAGAGACCGACGAUUGUUACCAACCACUACGGCCAGAGAAACCUUAGGCUUGUUAUGACAAGAAAUACCAGGGAAAUUUGAUGAUGACCGUGAAGAACUGUUGUCAGCUGCAAAUUAUGCUCGUAAUGCUAGCUAUCUAGCAUGUUCAAGCGCUUUUUGGGAAAAACUUGAACCUAUAUUAGCACUCAUUAUAGAGGAAUCCGUUAAUGAAUUUGAAGAAGGAAAAAAUACCGAAAAUAUAGCACUUCAAGAUACUUUUGGUGAUUCAGCUUAUGAUACAUUUCACCAUGAUGAUUUCAGUGAGCCUAGAAAGAAGGAUAGGAGGGAAGUUGAAAUAGAGCUUCAUGUUGAUCUGGUACAUGACUACUUUGCUCCAUAGUACGUACCAACAUGACCUCAUAUUCUAUAGCUCAGAUGUGGGCCGUAUGCAGAAUGUAGGCUUUCUACAAGACCAACUGCUAUAGAAUCUAAAGGUCUAACGUUAGUAUCAGAAGUUGUGAUAAAAAAGGGUUUUUUUUUUGUGUCUCUUGUUUUGAUGAAGAUCUUAGGAAGCCUAAUUGAAGGCAAACAAUUAGAAAACAAAAGAGAAUUUAUAAGAUGGGAAGAAGAAACAUGGAAAUAAAACAAGCAUUACCUGAUGGAUUCACAUCGUCAUGUGUUCUUCAGGUCAAGUCAAAGCUAAUUACAUGGUUGCACCAUUUGCACAAGAUUUAGAUGAAAAAAAUGAAGAUACAAGCUCACACUCUUUCAGGACAAUAUUAGUUGUUUAGACCAAAAUUUGCCGAUCCGAUCCUACUGGAAGCUCACUGGAGCGUCUUGAUGGCUGCAAGGCGGUAUGGCUGUCUUUCAGAUCCUUCUGUCCUAAAACUUUUCAAACUUUUAUAUUAGCACAUAAUGCAUAGGAUAUGAUUAUACUACUAAAUGGGUCAAAAGAGUGCCCUCUGUUUUUUUUUUAUCAUCAAUAUGUUUCGCUAUUAUGAUGCUGCCUCCAUUUUAUGUUCAUUUACAUAUUGAUAUAUCUAUUACAUCGAAAAGUAAACAAUAUGAGCAAGUUAGUGCUUCGGGUGCAGAAGAAGAUAUAA